rnacentral:lncRNA from 1 species
AUGAAUACCUGUCGACACUGCCCUCACUCCAGCAGCUCGUGGGUAACGUACUCCUCUAGGAACGUUCCCCACCCUCGGAUGCUCUGCCACAUACAAGGGUUAGACAAUAGUCCAAUCUGUUCUGUAAGACACAGCUGUUUCAGAGAACUCCCGUCUGCUGACAAAACAGCCAUCCUUGAGCAAAAAGCUGAUGGAGUGUAUGUGCUAGAUGGGAAUGCCAGAGGCAACUUGCUUGCCAACCACUGCCUUCCAAGGCUUGAGGCUUUCAUGCAAAGAGGGCCAGGCUCUUCACAGCUUGCAGCACAACACGGAGAAGGACUUGCAAAUUUUCCAGAGAGGACUCAAAGUAACCCUACUUCACCUGAAAAGCUUUUGAAAAAACGACCCCAAACCUGUGCACAACCUGCAACUACCCAGGGAGUCCUCCAGACUCUCUCCCAGCCUUCCUCUGCAUGCCUCAACUUGAGUCACGGUCCUCAUGUCCAGCAGAACGCAGAUUUUGACCUAAGCUACCUGCACUGGGAAAUAAAGGUGCUGGACAAACUGAGAAAACUUUUCCAGACAGAUUCGCUUACAGAGAUCCAGGAAUGGCUCUCAAAAGCAAGCAUAAAAGAGAAAGUCUUCGUGUCCAGACUGAUUUACUCUGAACUGACUGGUAAAGGCCAGCUGAAUAAUCAGCCACGAGCAACACAGGAUGGUGCAGGAGAGAACACGAAUACCCACAGUUUGCUAAAGCCUCGGCCUCCUUCUCAGAGAGGUCCAGAAGGGGAUAUAAAUAACAGGCCUUCAACUAAUGGAUCAGAAGCAAGUCAAAACAUGGAACAUAAAACGGAUAAAGACUGUAUUUUGUUCUCAAAGCUGAGAAACAGAGGUCCAGCACAUGCAGACACACUGCCUCCAGAGAAGAGCCAUGGCUGGCAAUGGAAACGAAGAGACCUGCCCUCACAUGGUGCCCUGCAGCAAGCCGAACAACAGAUAGACCCCUUCCAGCGGAGGCCCACCUCUUCAUAG